rnacentral:rRNA from 1 species
CUUACACAUGCAGUCGAACGAAGCCCUCGGGCUUAGUGGCGGACGGGUGAGUAACGCGUGAGAACUACCUUCUAGAUGGGGACAACCGUUGGAAACGACAGCUAAUCCCCAAUAAGCCGAGAGGUGAAACGGGUAUCCGCUAGAAGAGGAGCUCGCGUCCGAUUAGUUAGUUGGUGGGGUAAAAGCCUACCAAGGCAGCGAUCGGUAGCUGGUCUGAGAGGAUGAGCAGCCACACUGGGACUGAGACACGGCCCAGACUCCUACGGGAGGCAGCAGUGGGGAAUUUUCCGCAAUGGGCGAAAGCCUGACGGAGCAACGCCGCGUGUGGGAAGAAGGCUCUUGGGCUGUCAACCACCUUUCUCAGGGAAGAAGACCUGACGGUACCUGAGGAAUCAGCCUCGGCUAACUCCGUGCCAGCAGCCGCGGUAAUACGGAGGAGGCAAGCGUUAUCCGGAAUUAUUGGGCGUAAAGCGUCCGCAGGGGGCGCAUCAAGUCUGCUGUUAAAGGUCGGAGCUAAACUCCGGUAGAGCAGUGGAAACUGGUGCGCUAGAGGGCGACAGGGGUAGAGGGAAUUCCCAGUGUAGCGGUGAAAUGCGUAGAGAUUGGGAAGAACACCGGUGGCGAAAGCGCUCUACUGGGUCGCACCUGACCCUCAGGGACGAAAGCUAAGGUAGCGAAAGGGAUUAGAUACCCCUGUAGUCUUAGCCGUAAACGAUGGAUACUAGGCGUGGUUUGUAUCGACCCAAGCCGUGCCGAAGCUAACGCGUUAAGUAUCCCGCCUGGGGAGUACGCACGCAAGUGUGAAACUCAAAGGAAUUGACGGGGGCCCGCACAAGCGGUGGAGGACGUGGUUUAAUUCGAUGCAACGCGACGUACCUUACCAGGGAUUGACAUCCCGCGAAGUUUGGGGAAACUCAGACGUGCCUACCGGGAACACGGAGACAGCUGAUGCAUGGCGGUAGUCAGCUCGUGUCGUGAGAUGUUGGGUUAAGUCAAGCAGCGAGCGCAUCCCUCGUCGUUAGUUGCCAGCAUUAAGUUGGUCACUAGAGAGAGACUGCCGCUGACAACCCGGAGGAAGGUGAGGAUGACGUCAAGUCAGCAUGCCCAUUAUGCUCUGGGCAACACACGUCCUACAAUGGUCGGGACAAAGGGGAGCAAGCUCGCGAGAGUAAGCGAAUCCCAGCA